UCCUUUCUAGGCCAUUGUGCCUCUCUUUCGGUGUUUUGGGACGGAACCAAGAAACCGAGUCUUGGGCAUCACUGUUCGGCUUUUGUGGGUAAGAAACUUUGAGACCACUCAGAAUCGGACCACCCAGUAGCUAGACGUGAACUUUCGGGGCCUCCGACCCCCUUCUGAGUCUGAUCGUUCCUUUCUAGGCCAUUGUGCCUUCUUUCGGCGUUUUGGAACGGAACCGAGAAACCGAGAAUAGGGCAUCACCGUUCGGUUUUUGUGGGCAAAAAACUUAGAGACCACUCAGAAUCGGACCACCCAGUAGCUAGACGUGAACUUUCGGGGCCUCCGACCCUCUUCUGAGUCUGAUCGUUCCUUUCUAGGCCAUUGUGCCUUCUUUCGGCGUUUUGGAACGGAACCGAGAAACCGAGACUAGGGCAUCACCAUUCGGUUUUUGUGGGCAAAAAACUUAGAGACCACUCAGAAUCGGACCACCCAGUAGCUAGAUGUAAACUUUCGGGGCCUCCGACCCCCUUCUAAGUCCGGCUGUUCCUUUCUAGGCCAUUGUGCCUUUCUUUCGGCGUUUUGGGACGGAACCAAGACACCGAGUCUGGGGCAUCACCGUUCGGCUUUUGUUGGCAAGAAACAUCGAGACCACUCAGAAUUGGACCACCCAGUAGCUAGAUGUGAACUUUCUAGGCCUCUGACCCCGUUCUAAGUCUGGUCGUUCCUUUCUAGGCCAUUGGGCCUCUCUUCGGUGUUUUGUGACGGAACCAAGAAACCGAGUCUUGGUCAUCACCGUUCGGCUUUUGUGGGCAAGAAACUUGGGAGGCCACUCAGAAUCGAACCACCGAGUAGCUAGAUGUGAACUUUCGAGGCCUCUGACCCCGUCCUAAGUCCGGUCAUUCCUUUCUAGGCCAUUAGGCCUCUCUUUGGUGUUUUGGGACGGAAUCAAGAAACCGAGUCUGGGGCAUCACAGUUCAGCUUUUGUGGGUAAGAAACUUCGAGACCACUAAGAAUCGGACCACCAAGUAGCUAGACGUGAACUUUCGAGGCCUCUGACCCCGUUUUAACUUCGGUCAGUCCUUUCUAGGCCAUUGUGCCUCUCUUUCGGUGUUUUGGGACGGAACCGAGAAACCGAGAAUAGGGCAUCACCGUUCGGUUUUUGUGGGCAAAAAACUUAGAGACCACUCAGAAUCGGACCACCCAGUAGCUAGACGUGAACUUUCGGGCCUCCGACCCCCUUCUGAGUCUGAUCGUUCCUUUCUAGGCCAUUGUGCCUUCUUUCGGCGUUUUGGAACAGAACCGAGAAACCGAGACUAGGGCAUCACCGUUCGGUUUUUGUGGGCAUAAAACUUAGAGACCACUCAGAAUCGGACCACCCAGUAGCUAGAUGUGAACUUUUGGGGCCUCCGACCCCCUUCUAAGUCCGGCUGUUCCUUUCUAGGCCAUUGUGCCUUUCUUUCGGCGUUUUGGGACGGAACCAAGACACCGAGUCUGGGGCAUCACCGUUCGGCUUUUGUUGGCAAGAAACAUCAAGACCACUCAGAAUUGGACCACCCAGUAGCUAGAUGUGAACUUUCUAGGCCUCUGACCCCGUUCUAAGUCUGGUCGUUCCUUUCUAGGCCAUUGGGCCUCUCUUCGGUGUUUUGUGACGGAACCAAGAAACCGAGUCUUGGUCAUCACCGUUCGGCUUUUGUGGGCAAGAAACUUCAAGGCCACUCAGAAUCGGACCACCGAGUAGCUAGAUGUGAACUUUCGAGGCCUCUGACCCCGUUCUAAGUCCGGUCAUUCCUUUCUAGGCCAUUAGGCCUCUCUUUGGUGUUUUGGGACGGAAUCAAGAAACCGAGUCUGGGGCAUCACCGUUCGGCUUUUGUGGGUAAGAAACUUCGAGACCACUCAGAAUCGAACCACCCCGUAGCUAGACGUGAACUUUCGGGGCCUCCGACCCCGUUCUAAGUCUGGCCGUUCCUUUCUAGGCCAUUGUGCCUUUCUUUUGGCGUUUUGGGACGGAACCAAGACACCGAGUCUGGGGCAUCACCGCUCGGCUUUUGUGGGUAAGAAACUUCGAGACCACUCAGAAUCGGACCACCUAGUCGCUAGACGUGAACUUUAUGGGCCUCCGACCCCUUUCUAAGUCUGACCAUUCCUUUCUAGGCCAUUGUGCCUUUCUUUCGGCGUUUUAGGACGGAACCAAGAAACUGAGUCUGGGGCAUCACCGUUAGGCGUUUGUGGGCAAGAAACUUCAAGAACACUCAGAAUCGGACCACGCAGUAGCUAGACGUGAACUUUUGGGGACUCCGACCUCCUUCUGAGUCCGAUCGUUCCUUUCUAGGCCUAUGUGCCUUCUUUCGGCGUUUUGGGACGGAACCCAGAAACCGAGACUGGGACAUAACUGUUCGACUUUUGUGGGUAAGAAACUUCGAGACAACUUAGAAUCGGACCACCCAGUAGCUAGACGUGAACUUUCGAGGCCUCCGACCUCGUUCUAAGUCCGGUCGUUCCUUUCUAGGCCACUUUGCCUUUCUUUCGGCGUUUUGGGACGGAACCAAGAAACCGAGUCUGGGCAUCACCGUUCGGCUUUUGUGGGCAAGAAACUUCGAGACCACUCAGAAUCGGACCACCCAGUAGCUAGACGUAAACUUUCGAGGCCUCCGACCCCGUUCUAAAUCCGACCGUUCCUUUCUAAGCCAUUGUGCCUUUCUUUCGGCGUUUUGGGACGGAACCAAGAAACUGAGUCUGGGCAUCACCGUUCGUCUUUUGUGGGCAAGAAACUUCGAGACCACUAAGAACCGGACCACCCAGUAGCUAGACGUAAACUUUCGAGGCCUCCGACCCCGUUCUAAGUCCUGCCGUUCCUUUCUAGGCCAUUGUGCCUUUCUUUCGACGUUUUAGGACGGAACCAAGAAACCGAGUCUGGAGCAUCACCGUUCAGAUUUUGUGUGCGAGAAACUUCGAGACCAAUCAGAAUCGGACCACCCAAUAGCUAGACGUGAACUUUCGAGGCCUCCGACCCCGUUCUAAGUCCGACCGUUCCUUUCUAGGCCAUUGUGCCUUUCUUUUGGCGUUUUGGGACGGAACCAAGAAAUCGAGUCUGGGGCAUCAGCGUUCGACUUUUGUGGGCAAGAAACUUCAAGACCACUCAGAAUCGGACCACCUAGUAGCUAGACGUGAAAUUUCGAGGCCUCCGACCCCGUUCUAAGUCCGGUCGUUCCUUUGUAGGCCAUUGUCUACAUUCUUGCCAGCAUGUCUGAUGUAUUGGCAAAGAAACAUGAAUCCUUAGCCACGGCUAAAGAGAUUAUGGAUUCAUUAAGGGGAAUGUUUGGGCAACCAGAAUGGUCAUUAAGACACGAGGCAGUCAAAAAUAUUUACACUAAGCGUAUGAAGGAAGGGACCUCUGUUAGAGAACAUGUUCUGGACGUGAUGAUGCACUUCAACAUCGCUGAAGUGAAUGGUGGUCCCAUCGAAGAGGUUAAUCAAGUUAGUUUUAUCUUAGAGUCUCUUCCAAAGAGCUUCAUUCCAUUCCAAACGAAUGCGUCUUUGAACAAGAUAGAAUUUAACUUGACAACCCUUCUGAAUGAACUCCAGCGAUUCCAAAACCUUACUAUGGGUAAAGGAAAACAAGUGGAAGCAAAUGUUGCUACCACAAAAAGAAAAUUUAUAAGAGGAUCGUCCUCUAAAACCAAAGCUGGACCCUCAAAACCUAAUGCUCAAAUAAAAAAGAAGGGAAAGGGAAAGACUCCCAAACAGAACAAGGGUAAGAAAGGUGCAGAAAAAGGUAAGUGUUACCAUUGUGGCCAAAACGGGCACUGGUUAAGAAACUGCCCAAAAUACCUUGCAGAAAAAAAGGCAGAGAAGGAAACACAAGGUAAAUAUGAUUUACUAGUUGUAGAAACAUGUUUAGUGGAAUAUGAAAAUUGUACCUGGAUACUAGAUUCAGGAGCCACUAACCAUAUUUGCUUCUCAUUUCAGGAAAAUAGUUCUUGGAAAAAGCUUUCAGAAGGCGAGAUCACUCUCAAGGUUGGAACAGGAGAGAUGGUCUCAGCUUCAGCAGUGGGAGAUUUAAAGUUGUUUUUUAGAGAUAGAUAUGUCAUACUUAAGAAUGUCUUAUAUGUACCUCAAAUGAAAAGAAAUUUAAUAUCUAUCUCUUGUAUUUUGGAACAAAUGUAUAGAAUAUCUUUUGAAAUUAAUGAAGCGUUCGUUUUCUAUAAAGGUAUUCUAGUUUGUUCUGCUAUACUUGAAGACAACUUAUAUAAGUUAAGACCAACUAGAGCAAAUUUUGUCUUAAAUACUGAAAUAUUCAGAACAGCUGAAACUCAGAAUAAAAGACAAAAAGUUUCUUCUAAUGCCUAUUUAUGGCACUUAAGACUUGGUCACAUAAAUCUCAAUAGGAUUGGGAGAUUGGUUAAAAGUGGGCUUCUAAGUCCGUUAGAAGAUAACUCUUUACCUCCUUGUGAAUCUUGUCUUGAAGGAAAAAUGACCAAGAGAUCUUUUACUGGAAAAGGUCUAAGAGCCAAAGGACCCUUAGAGCUCGUACAUUCGGACCUUUGUGGACCAAUGAAUGUCAAAGAGGUGGAUAUGAAAUAUUUCAUUAGCUUCAUUGAUGAUUAUUCAAGGUAUGGUCAUAUUUACCUAAUACAUCAUAAGUCUAAUAGUCUUGAAAAGUUCAAAGAAUAUAAGGCUGAAGUAGAAAACGAAUUAGGUAAAACAAUAAAAAUACUUCGAUCAGAUCGAGGUGGAGAGUAUAUGGACUUACGAUUCCGAGACUAUUUAAUAGAAAAUGGAAUCCAGUCACAACUCUCUGCACCUAGUACACCUCAACAGAACGGUGUAUCAGAAAGAAGAAACCGGACCUUGUUAGACAUGGUUCGCUCUAUGAUGUUUUUCUCAGAUGUCAGAUUCUUUUUGGGGAUAUGCUUUAGAAACAGCUGCUUAUAUUUUGAAUAAUGUUCCCUCUAAAAGUGUUUCAGAAACACCUUAUGAGCUAUGGAAAGGGCGUAAAGGCAGUUUACGUCAUUUUAGAAUUUGGGGUUGUCCAGCACACGUGUUGGUACAAAAUCCAAAAAUUGGAACAUCGUUCAAAAUUAUGCUUUUUUAUAGGUUAUCCAAAAGAAUCAAGAGGUGGUUUGUUUUAUGAUCCUCAAGAAAAUAAAAUAUUUGUGUCAACAAAUGCCACAUUCUUAGAGGAAGACCACAUCAGGGAUCAUCAACCUCGUAGUAAACUAGUAUUAAAAGAAAUUUCCAAAAGUGCUAUAGAUAAACCUAGUUCAUCCACUAAGGUAGUUGAUAAGACUAGGAAAUCUGGACAAUCACAUCCUUCUCAACAGUUGAGAGAGCCUCGACGUAGUGGGAGGGUUGUUCAUCAGCCUGAUCGCUAUUUGGGUUUAAUUGAAACUUAAGUCGUCAUACCUGACAAUGGCAUAGAGGAUCCAUUAACCUAUAAACAGGCAAUGAAAGAUGUAGAUCGUAACCAAUGGAUCAAAGCCAUGGACCUCGAAAUGGAGUCUAUGUACUUUAAUUCUGUCUGGACUCUAGUAGAUCAACCAAAUGACGUAAAACCUAUUGGUUGUAAAUGGAUCUACAAGAGAAAACGAGACCAUGCCGGUAAAGUACAGACUUUUAAGGCUCGACUUGUGGCAAAGGGUUAUACCUAGAGAGAGGGAGUAGACUAUGAGGAAACUUUCUCUCCUGUUGCCAUGUUAAAGUCAAUUAGAAUACUCUUAUCCAUCGCCACUUUUUAUGAUUAUGAAAUUUGGCAGAUGGAUGUCAAGACAGCUUUUUUGAAUGGUAAUCUUGAAGAGAGUAUCUAUAUGUCUCAACCAGAGGGGUUUAUAGAACAAGAUCAAGAACAAAAGGUUUGUAAGCUUAAAAAAUCCAUUUAUGGAUUAAAACAAGCUUCUAGAUCCUGGAAUAUAAGAUUUGAUACUGCGAUCAAAUCUUAUGGCUUUGAACAAAAUGUUGACGAGCCUUGUGUUUACAAAAAGGUCGUCAAUUCCAUUAUAGCAUUUUUAGUCUUAUAUGUAGAUGAUAUUCUACUUAUUGGAAAUGACGUAGGAUAUCUUACUAAUAUCAAGAAAUGGCUAGCUAUGCAAUUUCAAAUGAAAGAUCUGGGAGAUGCACAAUACAUUCUCGGAAUCCAAAUUGUUCGAAACCGUAAGAACAAAACACAAGCCAUGUCUCAAGCAUCUUACAUAGACAAAAUGUUGUCUAGAUAUAAAAUGCAGAAUUCCAAAAAGGGUCUGCUGCCGUACAUAUAUGGAAUUCAUUUGUCAAAAGAAAAAUGUCCUAAGACACCUCAAGAAGUUGAGGAUAUGAGAAAUAUUCCCUAUGCUUCAGCUGUUGGAAGUUUAAUGUAUGCAAUGUUAUGUACUAGACCUGACAUUUGCUACUCAGUAGGGAUGGUCAGUAGGUAUCAAUCCAAUCCUGGACGUGAUCACUGGACAGCCGUUAAAAACAUUCUAAAAUAUCUUCGAAGAACAAAAGACUACAUGCUCAUGUAUGGUACAAAGGAUCUGAUCCUUACUGGAUACACUGAUUCAGAUUUCCAAGCUGAUAAAGAUGCUAGAAAGUCUACAUCAGGAUCAGUAUUUACUCUAAAUGGAGGAGCAGUAGUUUGGAGAAGCAUAAAGCAAACUUGUAUAGCUGAUUCCACAAUUGAAGUUGAAUACGUAGCGGCUUGUGAAGCAGCAAAAGAAGCUAUAUGGCUAAGAAAAUUCUUGACAGAUUUGGAAGUCGUUCCAAAUAUGCAUCUACCAAUCACUUUAUACUGUGACAACAGUGGUGCAGUUGCAAAUUCAAGAGAACCUAGAAGUCAUAAAAGAGAAAAGCAUAUUGAACACAAGUACCAUCUUAUCAGGGAAAUUAUACAUCGUGGUGACGUUGUAGUAACCCAGAUUUCUUCUCAGCAAAACAUUGCUGAUCCUUUUACAAAAGCCCUCACGGCUAAAGUGUUUGAGGGUCAACUACACAGUUUAGGUCUACGAUGUUUGUAAACUAGGACAAGUGGGAGACUUAUUGGCCAAGUGCCCUAGUUUCAUAUCUAUUCUCUCACACCACAUCUCUCACACCACUAGGAAUUUUAGUCCAAGUGGGAGUUUGUUGGAAUUUUUUGUCCUAAAACUCGUAGUUUGUAAAUCAUAUUCUGUUCAAUAAAGUUGUUAUUGAGAAAUUAAAUAUUAUAAUCUUAAAUCCAAUAAAUCAAGUUCCAAGGCUAUUUUUGAAUAAACUUGAACUUUAUGUGUAAACAUAAACGUGGAUCAAGUUCGAGUACAUAGCCUAAAUAGUCUAUAGUAUAUGAAAUAAAGGUUGGGCGCCUUAUAUAGAGAAACUAUGGAUGCGACCCACUUUGUAGUACAAACGAGGUGAUCCUAAUCGUUCAUGUAGAGACAUGAAAGUGGGGGCAUCCUAUGUAAAAUGUUUACAUCAGACUGAACCAUGAAUUAGUCUUUUUUACGUUAUAACAUCGUUUACUGUUUAAAACUGACUAUCUCAAUUAUUGAUGACCUAGGUAACUUAGUCUUAAUCCUGAGUUAACUAUGAACUCCUGUUCACACGAGAUUAUCCUUAGAUCUGCAUAGGUGAGGGCAGCUCAUCAUCGUUGGCCCAAUAAGCCUCUCAUUUCAAGGGUAAGAUCGGGUGGAUAGCUGGGAACAUAGGGUACAAGAUGGAAUUCACUCCUACCCGCUUUAGGGUUAGUAGAUAGGUUGUUCUCUUAAGCACUGAAUCCAAGUCUUGAACAAGGGGCCCUACCCUCUCAUUGGCCCGAGAGGGAUUAAGUUUAUAGGUUGAACCUUAAACCAAUUGUUCAAUAGUGGAUUAGCGGGACUUAAGGAGCAAGAUGUAAUCUUGGGGGUAAAACGGUAUUUUGACCCAGCCAAGGUUACGAGCAACCUGUGAAGGAUUAACUUACUGAUUAUGGUUUUAUCAAAUGGACACAAAUAUAUCUAUAGGUCCAUUAGGUUCCUCUGCUAGCUCAUAUGGAUUAAACUUAGAACAGUGUGAUGAAAUAAGUCGAAUUUUUCGAAUUGGGAGAAGAAAGGGAAACCGACAAAUAUAGUGAUAUAGUCGUCGGUCUUCUAAUUAGAAAUAGAGGUUUAUGUUUUACACACUAUAAGUAUGAAUGCGGAUUCAUACUAAGAAGCUCGAAAUUGAUGGAAUUGGUCAAAAAUAGUAAAAAGUCAAAAUGUUGACUUUUGACUUUGAAAAGUCAAACUUUGACCGGCCUUAUAUUCAAAUGUGAUUUGAAUUUUGGAAAAAUGAAUGCGGAUUCAUGCUCGGGAGGUUGGAAUUAGUCAAGAUGGACAAAAUGGUAAAAAGUCAAAAUAUUGACUUUUGACUAAGAAAAGUCAAAGUUUGACUUUUGACUAGAAAUAUCUAAUGACCAUUUUACCCUUGGACUAAGUUAGUGGGAAAAUCCAACAUUUUUUUCGAUAAUCCCACUAACUCUUAGUGGGAUAUGUGGCUAUAUAAGAUAUAGACACCUAGCCCACUAAGUUCCACUAAUUGUUAGUGGAACAUUAGGUGUUGAGAUUUGGCAAAUGAAUUGCAUGCAUUUUUGCAUGUAAUUAGGUUAUAAAUAGAGGUGUUUUCAAAUGUAGAAGGACUUUUGCCUCUUUUAUCAUUUUCAUCAUCUCAGUCAAAGGAAUAAAAGAUACCUUCUAACCCCCUUUUAUCUCCAUUACUUUCUACACCAAAAUUGAGUCUCACAACCCAAGUUCUUUAUUUAGAGGAUAGCGGUUGAGUACUAGUGGUGGUCUCGGUUUGAAUUGGUAAAAAGAUAUCAAACUUUUUGAAAGCUUCAAAGGUAAUAUUUCCUAAACCCUAAUUUGAUUAGUUUAUGGUUACAUGUUAAUUGUGGCAAUUAUGGUAGAAAUUCGAUUCUUUUUCCGCUGUGCAUGACUUAGUUCUAUCAGUCUGGGGCAUCACCGUUCGACUUUUGUGGGCAAGAAACAUCGAGACCACUCAGAAUCGGACCACCCAGUAGCUAGACGUGAACUUUUGAGGCCUCCGACCCUGUUCUAAGUCCGGCCAUUCCUUUCUAGGCCACUAUGUCUUUCUUUCGGCGUUUUGCGACGGAACCAAGAAACCAAGUCUAGGGCAUCACCGUUCGGCUUUUGUGGGCAAGAAACUUCGAGACCGCUCAGAAUCGGACCACCCAGUAGCUAGACGUCAACUUUUGAGGCCUCCGACCUCGUUCUCAGUACGGCCGUUCCUUUCUAGGCCACUGUGCCGUUCUUUCGGCGUUUUGGGACGGAACCAAGAAACCGAGUCUAGGGCAUCACCGUUCGGGUUUUGUCGGCAAGAAACUUCGAGACCGCUCAGAAUCGGACCACCCAGUAGCUAGACGUGAACUUUCGAGACCUCCGACCGCGUUCUAAGUCCGGCCGUUCCUUUCUAAGCCACUACGCCUUUCUUUCGGAGUUUUGGGACGGAACCAAGAAACCGAGUCUUGGGCAUCACCGUUCGGCUUUUUUUGGCAAGAAACUUGGAGACCGCUCAGAAUCGGACCACCUAGUAGCUAGACGUUAACUUUUGAGGCCUCCGACCCCGUUCUAAGUCUGACCGUUCCGUUCUAGGCCACUCUGGCUUUCUUUCGACGUUUUGGGACGAACCAAGAAACUGAGUCUGGGCAUCACCGUUCGGCUUUUUUGGGCAAGAAACUUAGAGACCGCUCAGAAUCGGACCACCCAGUAGCUAGACGUUAACUUUUGAGGCCUCCGACCCCGUUCUAAGUCCGACCGUUCCGUUCUAGGCCACUGUGCCUUUCUUUCGGCGUUUUGGGACGAAACCAAGAAUUCGAGUCUGGGCAUCACCGUUCGGCUUCUGUGGGCAAGAAACUUCGAGACCGCUCAGAAUCGGACCACCCAGUAGCUAGACGUUAACUUUUGAGGCCUCCGACCCCGUUCUAAGUCUGACCGUUCCGUUUUAAGCCACUGUGCCUUUCUUUCGGCGUUUUGGGACGAAACCAAGAAUUCGAGUCUGGGGCAUCACCGUUCGGCUUCUGCAGGCAAGAAACUUCGAGAUCGCUCAGAAUCGGACCACUCAGUAGCUAGACGUGAACUUUCGAGGCCUCCGACCCCGUUCUAAGUCUGGCCGUUCCUUUCUAAGCCACUGUGCCUUUCUUUCGGCAUUUUGGGAUGAAACCAAGAAGUCGAGUCUAGGCAUCACCGUUCGGCUUUUUUGGUCAAGAAAUUUGGAGAUCGCUCAGAAUCGGACAACCCAGUAGCUAGACGUUAACUUUUGAGGCCUCCGACCCCGUUCUAAGUCCGACCGUUCCAUUCUAGGCCACUGUGCCUUUCUUUUGGCGUUUUAGGACGAAACCAAGAAUUCGAGUCUAGGGCAUCACCGUUCGGCUUUUGUGGGCAAGAAACUUUGAGACCACGCAGAAUCGGACCACCCAGUAGCUAGACGUGAACUUUCGAGGCCUCCGACGCCGUUCUAAGUCCGGUCGUUCCUUCCUAGGCCAUUGUGCCUUUCUUUCGGCCUUUUGGGACGAAACCAAGAAACCGAGUCUGGGCAUCCCCGUUCGGCUUUUUUGGGCAAGAAACUCUUAGACGACUCAGAAUCGGACCACCCAGUAGCUAGACGUGAACUUUCGAGGCCGACCGCGCGUUCUAAGUUAGUCCAGUCGUUCCUUUCUAGGCCAUUGUGCCUUUGUUUCGGUUUUGGGACGAAGAAGAAACCGAGUAUGGGGCAUCACCGUAAGGCUUUUGUGGCAAGAAACUCUGAGACGACUCAGAAUCGGAACACCCAGUAGCUAGACGUGAACUUCGAGGCCUCCCGACGCCGUUCUAAGUCUGGGUCGUUCCUUUCUAGGCCAUUGUACCUUUCUUUGGCGUUUUGGAAGGAACCAAGAACCGAGUCUGGGCAUCACCGAGUUCGGCUUUUUGUGGCAAGAAACUUCGAGACCGCUCAGAAUCGGACCACCUAGUAGCUAGACGUGAACUUUCGAGGCCUCCGACCCCGUCUUAUGUUCGGUCGUUCCUUUCUAGGCCAUUGUAUCUUUCUUUCGGCUUUUGGGACGGAACCAAGAAACCGAGUCUGGGGCAUCACCGUUCGGCUUUUCUGGGCAAGAAACUUCGAGACCACUCAGAAUCGGACCACCCAGUAGGUAGACGUAAACUUUCGAAGCCUCCGACCCCGUUCUAAGUCUGGUCGUUCCUUUCUAGGCCAUUGUGCUUUCUUUCGGGGUUUUGGGACGGAACCAAGAAACCGAGUCUGGGCAUCACCGUUCGGCUUUUGUGGGCAAGAAACUUCGAGACGCUCAGAAUCGGACCACCUAGUAGCUAGACGUGAACUUUCGAGGCUCGACCCCGUUCUAAGUUCGGUCGUUCCUUUCUAGGCCAUUGUAUCUUUCUUUCGGCUUUGGGACGGAACCAAGAAACCGAGUCUGGGGCAUCACGUUCGGCUUUUCUGGGCAAGAAACUUCGAGACCACUCAGAAUCGGAACCCAGUAGCUAGACGUAAACUUUCGAAGCCUCCGACCCCGUUCUAAGUCCGGUCGUUCCUUUCUAGGCCAUUGUGCCUUUCUUUCGGGGUUUUGGGACGGAACCAAGAAACCGAGUCUGGGGCAUCACCGUAAGGCUUUUGUGAGCAAGAAACUUCGAGACCACUCAAAAUCAGACCACCCAGUAGCUAGACGUGAACUUUCGAGGCCUCCGACUUCGUUCUAAGUCCGGUCGUUCCUUUCUAGGCCAUUGUGCCUUUCCUUCGGCGUUUUGGACGGAACAAGAAACUGUCUGAGGCAUCACGUUCGGCUUUUGUGGGCAAGAGACUUCGAGACCACUCAGAAUCGGACCACGUAGCUAGACGUGAACUUUCGAGGCCUCCGACCCGUUCUAAGUCCUGUCUUUCCUUUCUAGGCAUUGUGCUUUCUUUCGACGUUUUGGGACGGAACCAAGAGACCGAUUCUGGGCAUCACCGUUCGGCUUUUGUGGGCAAGAAACUUCGAGACCACUCAGAAUCGGACACUAGUAGCUAGACAUGAACUUUCGAGGCUCGACCGUUCUAAGUUCGGUCGUUCCUUUCUAGGCCAUUGUAUCUUUCUUUCGGCUUUUGGGACGGAACCAAGAAACCGAGUAUGGGGCAUCACCGUUCGGCUUUUCUGGGCAAGAAACUUCGAGACCACUCAAAAUCGGACCACCCAGUAGCUAGACGUAAACUUUCAAAGCCUCUGACCCCGUUCUAAGUCCGGUCGUUCCUUUCUAGGCCAUUGUGCCUUUCUUUCGGGGUUUUGGGACGGAACCAAGAAACCGAGUCUAGGGCAUCACCGUAAGGCUUUUGUGGGCAAGAAACUUCGAGACCACUCAAAAUCGGACCACCCAGUAGCUAGACGUGAACUUUCGAGGCCUCCGACUCGUUCUAAGUCCGAUCGUUCCUUUCUAGGCCAUUGUGCCUUUCUUUCGGCGUUUUGGGACGGAACAUGAAAGAGUCUGGGGAUCACCGUUCGGCUUUUGUGGCCAGAAACUUCGAGACCACUCAGAAUCGGACAACCUAGUAGCUAGACGUGAACUUUCGAGGCCUCCGACUUCGUUCUAAGUCCGCUCGUUCCUUUCUAGGCCAUUGUGCCUUUCCUUCGGCGUUUUGGAACGGAACCAAGAAACAGAUUCUGAGGCAUCACCGUUCGGCUUUUGUGGUCAAGAAUCUUCGAGACCACUCAGAAUCGGACCACUCAGUAGCUAGACGUGAACUUUCAAGGCCUUCGACCGAGUUCUAAGUCCGGUCGUUCCAGACCAUUGUGCCUUUCUUUUGGCAUUUUGGGACGAAACCAAGAAACCGAGUCUGGAGCAUCACCGUUCGGCUUUUGUGGGCAAGAAACUUCGAGACCACUCAGAAUCGGACCACCCAGUAGCUAGACGUGAACUUUCAAGGCCUUCGACCCCGUUCUAAGUCCGGUCUUUCCUUUCUCGGCCAUUGUGCCUUUCUUUCGGCGUUUUGGGACGAAACCAAGAAACCGAGUCUGGGGCAUCACCGUUCGGCUUUUGUUGGCAAGGAACUUUGAGACAACUCAGAAUCAGACCACCCAGUAGCCAGACGUGAACUUUCGAGGCCUCCGACCCCGUUCUAUGUCCGGUCGUUCCUUUCUAGGCCAUUGUGCCUUUCUUUCGGCGUUUUGGGACGAAACCAAGAAACCGAGUCUGGGGCAUCACCGUUCGGCUUUUGUUGGCAAGAAACUUCGAGAUCACCCAGUACCUAGACGUAAACUUUCGAGGCCUCCGACCCAAUUCUAAGUCCGGUCCUUCCUUUCUACGCCAUUGUGCUUUUCUUUCGGCGUUUUGGGACGGAACCAAGAAACCGAGUCUGGGGCAUCACCGUUCAGCUUUUGUGGGCAAGAAAAUUCGAGAUCACCCAGUACCUAGACGUGAACUUUCGAGGCCUCCGACCCCAUUCUAAGUCCGGUCGUUCCUUUCUAGGCCAUUGUGCCUUUCUUUCGACGUUUUGGGACGGAACCAAGAAACCGAGUCUGGGUCAUCACCGUUUGGCUUUUGUGGGCAAGAAACUUCGAGAUCACCCAGUACCUAAACGUGAACUUUUGAGGUCUCCGACCCCGUUCUAAGUCCGGUCGUUCCUUUCUAGGCCAUGGUGCCUUUCUUUCGGCGUUUUGGGACGGAACCAAGAAACUGAGUCUGUCGCAUCACCGUUCGGCUUUUGUGGGCAAGAAACUUCUGUUGGAAUUUUUUGUCCUAAAACUCGUAGUUUGUAAAUCAUAUUCUGUUCAAUAAAGUUGUUAUUGAGAAAUUAAAUAUUAUAAUCUUAAAUCCAAUAAAUCAAGUUCCAAGGCUAUUUUUUGAAUAAACUUGAACUUUAUGUGUAAACAUAAACGUGGAUCAAGUUCGAGUAUAUAGCCUAAAUAGUCUAUAGUAUAUGAAAUAAAGGUUGGGCGCCUUAUUUAGAGAAACUAUGAUGCGGCCACUUUGUAGUACAAACGAGGUGAUCCUAAUCGUUCAUGUAGAGACAUGAAAGUGGGGGCAUCCUAUGUAAAAUGUUUACAUAAGUCUGA
rnacentral:lncRNA from 1 species